UCUGCAUUUGAACAAUCAAGAGGCAGCACACAUGCUGCAGGCUCUGGAAAACACGGACCAUUGCAACACCAAGUGAUUGAAUUUCUUACAUAUCAAUAGAAACUCAGGUUCCUUGUACUGUGAGGCCAUAUACAUCAUCGCAAUGGAGGCCAUCUAGUGGUUGCUUUUGGUUACUCAGGCCCACUGAUUUAUGUCAGUUUAAUUGAUUCAGCUUUUUGUAUAAAAUCCUAAAAGGGACUCUUUGGUGCAUCAAUCUUGAAAUGAUCUUCUUAGGAUGAUCCGAACAAGGUUUUCCAUCCGCUUGAUCGACUC